rnacentral:rRNA from 1 species
CCUACGGGAGGCUGCAGUGAGGAAUAUUGGUCAAUGGGCUUACGCCUGAACCAGCCAAGUCGCGUGAGGGAAGACUGCCCUAUGGGUUGUAAACCUCUUUUGUCAGGGAGCAAUUGGCGCUACGUGUAGCGUUAUCGAGAGUACCUGACGAAAAAGCAUCGACUAACUCCGUGCCAGCAGCCGCGGUAAUACGGAGGAUGCGAGCGUUAUUCGGAUUUAGUGGGUUUAAAGGGUGCGUAGGCGGAAUGCCAAGUCAGCGGUAAAAUCGCGGGGCUCAACCUCGCUCCGCAGUUGAAACUGGCGUGCUUGAGUGUGCGAGAGGGAGGCGGAAUGCGUGGUGUAGCGGUGAAAUGCAUAGAUAUCACGCAGAACUCCGAUUGCGAAGGCAGCAUACCGGCGCCCAACUGACGCUGAAGCACGAAAGCGUGGGUAUCGAACAGGAUUAGAUACCCGAGUAGUC